CCUCCUUCCUUUCUCCCUCCCUUAUCAUCCUUCCUUCCAAUCUUUCUAUGCAUAUGUAAGUAAGAAGGCUGUUUAUGCUGUUCACACUAUCUUCUCUUCCUCCUCCUCCUCCUCCUCUUCGUCCUGUUCCUACUUUUCUUCCUCUUCUUCUAUUCCUACUCCUUUGCUUUUUCCUCCUAAUCAUCUACAUUUUUUUCUUUAUCUUUUUCUCUUUAUUCUGCAUUUUCGAUACCUCUACUUUUUUUCCCUUUUAAGUCUUCGUUUUCUUUAUCUUUUCUUCUCCUCUUUCUUCUUCUACAUUAUUUUCUUCGUAUUUUUCUCAACUCUACGUUUUCUUCCUUUUACAUUUCGUUUUCUUUAUCUUUUUCUUCUCCUCUUUCUUCUUCUACAUAUAUACUUCUUAUUUUUCUCUACAUUUUCUUCCUCCGUCUUUCUUCUUCGUCCUUCACAGCCAACACCAUGAAUUUUUUUUGGUCCCUCACCUAUGUUGCAAUUCUCUAUCGCGACUUUCAUCACCGCCCCUUUCUCCCCCCUCUAUUCCCCUACCCCUUCCCCUCCCUCUCCCUCUACCACCAUACAUUAUCUCCCUUCUUCCUCUUCUUUCUUACCUUUAACAUAGCCCCAUUCCCCUCCCUCUCCCUUCUUCCCUCUCCUUUCCCAUUCCUUUCCUAUUCCCCUACCCCUUCCCUUCCCUCUCCCUCUUCCUCCAUAUAUUCUCCCUCUUCUUCCCUACCUUUAAACCAUUAGCCCCAUUCCCCUUCCUCUAUUCCCCUACCCCUUACCCUCCCUCUCCCUCUUCCACCAUAAAUUCUCUCCCUUCUUCCUCUCCUUUCCUACCUUUAACAUAUCAGCCCCAUUCCCCUUCCUCUAUCCUCCUAUCCCUUCCCCUCCCUCUCCCUUCCUACCUUUAACCCAUCAGCCCCAGUCCCCUUUUUUUUCCCCUUCCUCUUCAAACUUCUUACCUACCUCAUAUACUCCCAUCACUUCCACCUUCCUAUCGUCUUCUAACUUUACCUUUUAAAUCCCUUCUGUCUUUCAUUCUCUUCCUCUUCCAUCGUCUUUCAUCAUAUAUUUCCUUCACUUCCUUUUCCCUUCCUUAUCUUACUCCUUUCAAUCUCCUUUCUCUCUUUCUUUCCCUUCCUCUUCCAUCGUUUAUCAUCACAUAUUUCCUUCACUUCCUUUUCCCUUCCUUAUCUUACUCCUUUCAAUCUCCUUUCUCUCUUUCUUUCCCUUCCUCUUCCAUCGUUUAUCAUCACAUAUUUCCUUCACUUCCUUUUCCCUUCCUUAUCUUACUCCUUUCAUUCCCUUUUCUUUCCCUUCCUCUUCCAUUAUAUAUUGUCCUAACCUUCUUUUUUCCCCUCAUAUCUUACCCUUUCAAUCCCUUCUUUCCUUCUUCUCCUUCCUCUCCCCUUUUCUUUUUCUCUAUCUUCUUAUUUUCUCUCUUUUCUUCCCUCCCCAUUCCUCUCUUUCCCUACCUCUCUCCCCUCUUCUUUAACUAUUCCUCUCUUCUGUCUCUCAUUCUCAAUCCCUUCCUCCCCCCCUUCACUUCUCAUUCCCCUUCACCACACACACACACACACACACACACACACACACACACAUACAUCACCACCACCCAUAUCACCUCCACCACCAUUUCCUUUCAUACAUCACACCUCCCUUACCCCCCUCAACCCCCCCCCUCCCCUCCCUCACCAUCAUAAUAUUUUCCUCUUUCAAGCAUAACAACACACAACAACACUAGUCAUCAUCACCACCAUCAUUUUUUAAACCUUCAACAUGCAUUUCUGGAUCUCAAGACUUUACAUUAUUCUUCAACACAAGUUCUUUUUCUUCUUCUUCUUUUUCCUCCUCCUCCUUCUUCUUCACGUCCCCAGAAACCUCCAGUCCGCCAUGUUGUUUCUUUUUUUGUCUGUGUCUCUCGUGAUAGGAAUGUCUAAGACGUAAGAAGGAGGAGGAGGAGGAGGAGGAGGAGGAGGUAAGGGAGGUCUUUCGUGUCGAUAAGAAGGCGGGGUAGCUACGUAGAAGAGGAAGAGGAGGAAGAGGAGGAGGAGGUAAGGGAGGUUUUCGAGUCGAUAAGAAGGCGGGGUAGCUACGUAGAAGAGGAAGAGGAGGAAGAGCAGGAGGAGGAGGAGGAGGAGGAGUUAAUAGUGAGGAUUGAGGUGGUGGGGAGGAGAAGGAAGGGGUUGAUUUGGGAUUUUGUGACAGGAGGAUGAGGAGGAG